rnacentral:rRNA from 1 species
ACUCCUACGGGAGGCAGCAGUGGGGAAUAUUGCACAAUGGGCGCAAGCCUGAUGCAGCCAUGCCGCGUGUGUGAAGAAGGCCUUCGGGUUGUAAAGUACUUUCAGCAGUGAGGAAGGCGGGUACGUUAAUAGCGUGCUUGUUUGACGUUAGCUGCAGAAGAAGCACCGGCUAACUCCGUGCCAGCAGCCGCGGUAAUACGGAGGGUGCGAGCGUUAAUCGGAAUUACUGGGCGUAAAGCGCAUGCAGGUGGUUUGUUAAGUCAGAUGUGAAAGCCCGGGGCUCAACCUCGGAAUUGCAUUUGAAACUGGCAGACUAGAGUACUGUAGAGGGGGGUAGAAUUUCAGGUGUAGCGGUGAAAUGCGUAGAGAUCUGAAGGAAUACCGGUGGCGAAGGCGGCCCCCUGGACAGAUACUGACACUCAGAUGCGAAAGCGUGGGGAGCAAACAGGAUUAGAUACCCUGGUAGGAUAGCG